CCUAGAUCCAGGGAGCUGGGACAGAACAUAAAAGCUGACCCAGCUACAAGGGCUUGAUAAGAAAGAUCUGUGGAUGCAAAGGUGUUGCUAUCUGGACAGCAGCAUGAUGGUGAGAGGCUGACCAUAUGGGUCAGAGAAAGGAAAUUGUUUCAGAAGAUAUCUCCUUAAUAAACUUUAACUUCAAGUUCCUUUAAAAAUGUGGUAAAAUGGAUGUGACAGACCAACUACGGUCGUUAAUAAAUAUCUGAUAACCAAGGAAGGUGAGGAGGUUAAGAUUUAUGGGGGGAAACAUUCCACCCAGCCAGAUGAAGCUGAACUUCCACCCUUCAUCAUAAAGGAGGAAAUUUUAAGAACAUUUAGGGAAGUAUUAGCAUAGGAAUGAAGGAACAGUCAUUCUGGAUCUGACCCUUUAGUCCAGUAUCUUGCCUCUCACAGUGGCCAGUAUCAGCUGAAGGUCUAUGAAUCAAACCUACUGAUUUUCGUUUGUGAAAUCCUCAUGAACUGAAACUGGCAGAUUUCACAGAGCCUUAGAGAAAUGCUUAUUCUCUUUUGGAGACUCAAGAGCGUGGGAUGGUUUAGAGAAGUACCUCAUUGUUUGGGUCCUUAGCCAAAUGGACCCAAACCAUUCAUGAUUUGCUUAUGGAUACUUCUCAUUUUGUAUGAUUGUCCAUGAUAUCUAGUUGGAAGAAAGAAUAACUACUAAAGUCUGCCCACACACUAACUGCUAAGACUACUCGGACUGACUGCUAAUGCUCAUUACUCACUUACACGACAGCGCUGCCUUAUGCAUUGCAGUGAAAGAAAACCUUCCACAUUAUUUGUUUCCUGUUAUGCAGGAACAAAAAAUAAAAUGACUGGG